rnacentral:piRNA from 1 species
UGAAAGAUAGAUAGAUGAUAGGUACAUAGAU